UUUGAUGGCGACCGGCGCACGGGUGAGUAACACGUAUCCAACCUGCCGAUGACUCGGGGAUAGCCUUUCGAAAGAAAGAUUAAUACCCGAUGGCAUAGUUCUUCCGCAUGGUAGAACUAUUAAAGAAUUUCGGUCAUCGAUGGGGAUGCGUUCCAUUAGGUUGUUGGCGGGGUAACGGCCCACCAAGCUUCGAUGGAUAGGGGUUCUGAGAGGAAGGUCCCCCACAUUGGAACUGAGACACGGUCCAA
rnacentral:rRNA from 1 species